rnacentral:rRNA from 1 species
AACGAACGCUGGCGGCAGGCCUAGCACAUGCCAGUCGAGCGAGGACUUCGGUUCUAGCGGCGGACGGGUGAGUAACGCGUGGGAAUGUGCCCUUCUCUACGGAAUAGCCCUGGGAAACUGGGAGUAAUACCGUAUACGCCCUUUUGGGGAAAGAUUUAUCGGAGAAGGAUCAGCCCGCGUUGGAUUAGGUAGUUGGUGGGGUAAUGGCCUACCAAGCCGACGAUCCAUAGCUGGUUUGAGAGGAUGAUCAGCCACACUGGGACUGAGACACGGCCCAGACUCCUACGGGAGGCAGCAGUGGGGAAUCUUAGACAAUGGGGGCAACCCUGAUCUAGCCAUGCCGCGUGAGUGAUGAAGGCCUUAGGGUUGUAAAGCUCUUUCAGCUGGGAAGAUAAUGACGGUACCAGCAGAAGAAGCCCCGGCUAACUCCGUG